CUUGUACAGGAUAGGUAGGAGCCUUUGAAACGUGAGCGCUAGCUUACGUGGAGGCGCUGGUGGGAUACUACCCUAGCUGUGUUGGCUUUCUAACCCGCACCACUUAUCGUGGUGGGAGACAGUGUCAAGCGGGCAGUUUGACUGGGGCGGUCGCCUCCUAAAAGGUAACGGAGGCGCUCAAAGGUUCCCUCAGAAUGGUUGGAAAUCAUUCAUAGAGUGUAAAGGCAUAAGGGAGCUUGACUGCGAGACCUACAAGU
rnacentral:rRNA from 1 species